rnacentral:rRNA from 1 species
CACGUACUAUCAGAGUUUGAUCCUGGCUCAGGAUGAACGCUAGCUACAGGCUUAACACAUGCAAGUCGAGGGGCAGCAUGAAUAUUGGCUUGCCAAUAUUUGAUGGCGACCGGCGCACGGGUGAGUAACACGUAUCCAACCUUCCGGUUACUCGGGGAUAGGCUUUCGAAAGAAAGAUUAAUACCGAUGUUGCGUAUCUUUCUCCUGAAAGAUACGCCAAAGGAUUCCCGGUAACCGAGUGGGGAUGCGUUCCAUUAGGCAGUUGGCGGGGUAACGGCCCACCAAACCUUCGAUGGAGUAGGGGUUCUGAGAGGAACGGUCCCCACAUUGGAACCGAGACACGGUCCAA